CGGGACAUUAUACACAUCGUCGGCGUAUCACUUGAACUGUUUGAGAACAUAAUAUCAAACUAUGUGCACGUAAAUAGGUAGUGUAUACACGAAGACGUACAUCAACCUUGGUAGAAACGGUAAUAAGAUGGAUCGGUACGUUAGCGUUACCAAGAUCCGGAAGUGGUCACUGAUCGUCGUGGCCCUGAUAUUAUCAAUGUACGUCCAAACAUCUGUGUCAGCUCCAUGCAAAAAGAAGUGUUGUGGCUGUGGCUGUGGUUGUGGAUGUGGCUGUUGCUAAAAUAACAUACGUACUUUGAUCAAGAGAUAUUAUUAUACAUGUCAAAGUGGCUUCAUUGGCACCAUGCAGUGGUAAUAGUUAUGGUUUCUUCAGUUUUCUGUCAAAAAAAUAAAAUAAAACUUACAUUUAUGGGUUAGUUUUUUUUGAAAAUUAUUUAAAAUUUUUAAUGAU